GCAAGGAGUAGUUAGGUGGUUUGGGACCACUCAGCCCCCACCUUUCUCAGCAGCCCUUGAGGUCAACCAAAUGGCUAAACUGAAGAGCAACUUGGCAGCUAGUCAGAUAGGGGGUGGGGGGAAGAAGGGAGGAAAAGACUUGAAUUUUAACCGCCUCACCAGGGAUCUGACUCCCUGACAAUGAACAUUUAGAAGAUCCAUGCUGUGAUGGUGGUCUGUCCCUGGGAGAAGAUAAAUUUUCUUUUCCUUAUCUUCAUCCAGUGAUUCAAUUAAUGCAAAAACAAACUAAAACAACUCCAAUUGGUGUUUUCUGGGAGGGGCUGUGGAACACAGGGUUCCAGCCUAAGAGGAGCUCAUAGUCUAGUGCCUUCUUUAGGCUAUCAGCCUUGUACCCACCACUCCCUCACCUCGGCCUCUGAUAGAGGAGUAGUUGGAGACCGCGCCAGGGGAGCCACAGACAGAGAAAGCUAUGCAGAGCAGCCGAAUGAGCCACUAUGGGAAUCAGGAUUUCCUAACACAGGACAGGAAAUAUAGAGAAGGGACAUUCCUGUUUCCAUCUGCAUGUUUAAAUAUCAAAUGUGGGCAGUCCGGGUGGCUCAGCAGUUUAGCGCUGCCUUCAGCCCAAGGCGUGAUCCUGGAGACUCAGGAUCGAGUCCCAUAUUGGGCUCCCUGCAUGGAGCCUGCUUCUCUCUCUGCCUGUGUCUCUGCCUCUCUCUCUCCGUGUCUCUCAUGAAUAAAUAAAUAAAAUCUUAAAAAAAUAAAAAUAAAUAAAUAUC
rnacentral:lncRNA from 1 species